rnacentral:misc_RNA from 1 species
CUGGGCCGCACGCGCGCUACA